UUUAACGGCCGCGGUAUCCUAACCGUGCAAAGGUAGCGCAAUCAAUUGUCCCAUAAAUCGGGACACGUAUGAAUGGCUAAACGAGGUCUUAACUGUCUCUUACAGGCAAUCGGUGAAAUUGAUCUCCCUGUGCAAAAGCAGGGAUAACCCCAUAAGACGAGAAGACCCUGUGGAACUUCAAAAACAGCAACCACCCCAAUAUACAUUCACACCCACCCCGGGCUCACUUAUUCCUAAAGCACUGGUUCGCAUUUUUUCGGUUGGGGCGACCUUGGAGCAAAACAAAACCUCCAAAAAUUGGACCAUCCCUCCAGACUAAGAGCAACCCCUCAACGUGCCAACAGCACCCAGACCCAAUAUAAUUGAUCAAUGGACCAAGCUACCCCAGGGAUAACAGCGCAAUCUCCUCCGAGAGUCCAUAUCGACGGGGAGGUUUACGACCUCGAUGUUGGAUCAGGACAUCCUAGUGGUGCAGGAGCUACUAA
rnacentral:rRNA from 1 species